rnacentral:rRNA from 1 species
GAGCGAACAGGGAAGAGCCCAGCACCGAAUCCCGCGUUCGCAACGGGCGUUGGGAAAUGUGGUGUUAGGGAGCGUCCGUGACCCGGACGUGCGCGCGUUCCAAGUCCUCUUGAACGGGGCCACGGCCCGCAGAGGGUGCCAGGCCCGUAGGGGCGCGCGCGCGCACGGGGGGGCGACUCCUAAGAGUCGGGUUGCUUGGGAUCGCAGCCCUAAGAAGGUGGUAAACUCCACCUAAGGSUAAAUACGACCACGAGACCGAUAGCGAACAAGUACCGUGAGGGAAAGUUGAAAAGAACUUUGAAGAGAGAGKUCAAGAGUACGUGAAACCGCUCAAGGGUAAACGGAAGGUGUCCGAGUAAACUGGUCCGGGGAAACUCAUCCCCGCCUCGUCGUCCGCUGGGGUGCGGCCGCGCGCCACGGGCGCUGCGUGAGUCCUCCUUCGGGGGGGCUCUCUGGCGGCGUUAACAGUGGGUAACAACGUGCGGUAGCGUCACCCCGCGUCGCCCGCUGAAACGGAGCGGGCGCGUAGUCGGCGGCGUUGGCGAUGUGCACUUUUCCUUCGACAUAGUGCGUCGCGAUCCGUUGGUCGGCGGCCAAAGGGCCCGUGCGGCUUCCCCGUCGCCUGUUCCCUCGCGGGAGCUCGGCGGGAGCGCAUGGUGUGCGGUGUUUCGCGCGGGCGGCUUCACAGCGCCCGCGCGCCGCGUCCCGGCCCGCCGUGUAAGACCGGUUCCGUAGGGGUUCCGGCAGUCACGACGGUCAUGAAAUACGUGGAAGACGUCCUGACUGUCCCCUUCGCGGGGGCAGCGGGUCUCUCCGGACCCGAGUUUCCUUCCUCGCGGGGCAACUCGCGGGGUGGGUUCUCUCAACCGUCCUGCCGCGGAGGCUCUCGACGAUCCCGGUCGGCGCGGUUCUAGCCGACCGCGCCCCGGGGGAACGUCCCUCCGCCGCGCUGCGCGGCCGGGCUUCACGGCCCGCCGCGCGCCGUUCGGCAGGGCGGGUGACAGGAGAGGGGGAGGAUUCGAGCGGAAACGCUCUCCUGCGUGGCGAAUCGGCGGCGAUAGUCUCGGACUAACCUUCCGACCCGUCUUGAAACACGGACCAAGGAGUCUAACAUGUGCGCGAGUCAAUGAGACUUUCUAAUCUCAAAGGCGAAAUGAAAGUGAAGAGCGGCGGCGUUCGCGUCGGGGUGACUCCCCUUCUGCGUCGCCGUUAGUGUUCCGCCAAGGGAAGAUGGUUCCGGGGGGCGAUCUCGCCUUCCGUUCGGCGGCGUGCUUUCGCGCGUGGCCGGGCGGUCAGAGCGGGCGCUUCAGUUUAUCACUCCGGCCCGCACUCCCGGGGCGCCGUACCCUCCGGGCGGCGCUCCAAGAGCGCACACGUUGGUACCCGAAAGAUGGUGAACUAUGCUUGGCCAGGACGAAGCCAGGGGAAACCCUGGUGGAGGUCCGGAGCGAUUCUGACGUGCAAAUCGAUCGUCUGAGCUGAGUAUAGGGGCGAAAGACCAAUCGAACUAUCUAGUAGCUGGUUCCCUCCGAAGUUUCCCUCAGGAUAGCUGGCGCUCGGAGACAAGAAAUAAGGUGAAGUAAAAGUAAAAGCAGUGAAUGUUGUGAUGAAAUUGAUGAAAAUGAAAACCGGGGCAAAGAAUCUCAUCCGGUAAAGCGAAUGAUUAGAGGCCUUAGGGCCGAAACGACCUUAACCUAUUCUCAAACUUUAAAUGGGUGAGACGGGCGGCGUGCUCGAAGAGUGACGCCGUCGCAGGGAUCUUUGAGUGUCUAGUGGGCCACUUUUGGUAAGCAGAACUGGCGCUGUGGGAUGAACCAAACGCAGAGUUAAGGCGCCUAAAUCGACGCUCAUGGGAUACCAUGAAGGGCGUUGUUUGCUUAAGACAGUAGGGCUGUGGACAUGGAAGUCGUAAUCAGCUAAGGAGUGUGUAACAACUCACCUGCCGAAGCAACUAGCCCUGAAAAUGGAUGGCGCUGAAGCGUCGUGCCUAUACUCUGCCGCCGGCGGGCAAGGUUGAGGGCGCCCCGGUGCUCCCGCGUCGGGGGCGGCAUCACCAAGUGUUUUGCUGCAGGAGCCCUGUUAAGCCCCGGCGAGUAGGAGGGUCGCGGCGGUGUGCGCAGAAGGGUUGGGCGUGAGCCUGCCUGGAGCCGCCGUCGGUGCAGAUCUUGGUAGUAGUAGCAAAUACUCUAGCGAGACCCUUGAGGGCUGAUGCGGAGAAGGGUUUCGUGUGAACAGCCGUUGCACACGAGUCAGUCGAUCCUAAGCCCUAGGAGAAAUCCGAUGUCGAUGGUGCCAUAUAAUAGUGUCUUAGCACUUUAAAUUUUCAUGAAUUGACGGUUUAUCCCAAGAUGUUGGAGAUAUGGCACCAAAGGGCGAAAGGGAAUCCGGUCCCUAUUCCGGAACCCGGUCGCGGAACCGUUUCACGUCGGGCCCCCGGCUUCGGCCGGUAGCUCGUCGGGGUAACCCAAAAUGACCCGGAGAAGCCGUCGGGAGGUCGGGGAAGAGUUGUCUUUUCUGUUUGAGCGUUCGAGUUCCCUGGAAUUGCCUAGCGCAGAGAGAGGGAAUGGAGCGCGUAGAGCACC